rnacentral:lncRNA from 1 species
UUUUUCUCAAUUUUGCCAAUUUGACUUCUCAAUUGUGUUUCCCUUAAGUUUACUAAACAAGUAAAAUAUGUAAUUGCAAAAAUAUACCACACACAUAUCAAUCUAAGGGAUUCACAGAGUUUUGUAUUAUAGCAUUCUUAAAAAUAAGAAGCCUAUAGUAUGAUUAGUUUUCAUUAACAAUUGGUCAUUAAUAAUUAUAAGCCAAAUAACUUUUCUCUACAAAGGAAUGAAGAUAAAAUUUACAACCACUAAAUAUCCAGACUUGCUCAGAAUAUUGAGUCUUCUGCUGAUGGCAAAAGAAAGAACCUUUGUUUUUAAGUAAAUCAAGUUAACUGGAGUUAAAGGCAUGCAUCUUACUUCUGUGACCCUCUUCACAAGUGCUCACUGUGUUUACUUCAAAGGAGAGAGAAAAGCCUGUUUCUGUGGAAAUGAGGAUUCCAUCUCUUGGUUUUCCCUUGUGCUGAAGAAAAUGUCCCUGCAUUUCCUGAUGAUCCCCCUCUAGUGGAGAGCCCGCAGUCUGCAUAUAAAGCCUGGAAUCUUGCCUGAAAAAUUCUCGAUUGCUUCUACACUGCCAAACCUUGCCCAUCAGUCCUUUAAACUGAAUCUUGGAUCAGAUCUCCUUCAUGAAACCACGUGAGGCUAAAACUUAACUAUACCCAAACAACAUAAAUUAAAUCAGCAUGACUCAUCAUGUUCCAAUCAUGUAUAUUAGUGUUUCUAUAUUCUGUGGAUUAAGAUACCUUACAAAGACUGUAUCAGAGCAAAUACUUUCAAUAGAAUCGUUCAGAAUCACCAAAAUUAAAGAAAUAAAGUUUAAUUCUAAGCCCUCA